UUGAAAGGGAAAAUAACCCAGAGAGAGAGAUCGCGAGAGACAGAUCGAGAGAGGGAGAAGAACUGAAGUAAACUGAGAAGAUCGAGAGAGACAGGUCGAGAUCUGAAAUCCCAUGAUCUUUUUACGGCGUGAAGAACUGAACUGAGAAGAUUCAAGGAUACUGAAACAGAAUGGGUAGUGAGGAUAGGAAUUUAUGGAUACAAGGAGUCUGUGACCAAGGACAAUCAGCAAAUUUAUGAUCACCAACAUAAGCAUCACAACCUCCUUUAUACCGAGGUGCCGUGGAUUUAAUUGCAUCAUCAAACCAUUUGAAGUACGAACACAUAGGAUUAGAGCAAGAGAAGAUUUUCUUCCCUGAAUUAGCACCAUCUUUGACCUUAAUAAGUUUUCGAAUACCAUUACAAGGAACUAAUUUACACCUUGUGUAGAUCCAAGGACAAUCAAUUGAUUGAUGAUUUUUUUCGUUGCACAUCUCACAUACCUGCAAAUUAAGUAAAAA